AUUAAUCUUCAUACCAUGACUUAGAAGAUAUUUAAUAUUUUUAGUUCUAUAUCCUAAAGGGUUUUUUUUUUUUAGCUCAUAAAGUUGACUCAUGACUUAAAGGGUUUUCAGUGUACAAACUUGCUCACCCUAACUGUAGACCAUUUCUGUUUUCUACUUAAUUUAAAACUGCCUUUUUUACUUGAGGGCCUUUAUGUGUGAGAGAAUGUGUUGAUUUGUUGAUAAAAUUUUGUCUAAUACAUUUUAAAAUCCAGGAAAGACCCAUAGAAUUAUUAAUCCAAAGUAAGAUAUUUAAAAAUACACGUUAAUAUUUUUAUUUUUUGUCUGUUUGAACCUUUUUUUCUCCAGAUUACUUGAUUGGAGACGUAUAUGUUGAAAGAAUCAUUGUUAGACUUCAUGAAACUUUAUUCAAAACAAAGAAAUUAUCAGAAGCUGAAAGCAGUGACUCAUCAGUGUCUUUUAUCUGUGAUGUGGCCUAUAACUAUUUCAGCUCAGCGAAAGGAUGCUUGCUAAUGCCAUCAUCUGAAGAUUUAUUAUUAACUCUCUUUCAGUUAUGUGCUCAGAGCAAAGAAAAAACACAUUUGCCAGAUUUUCUUAUCUGUAAACUGAAAAAUACUUGGCUCUCUGGUGUAAAUUUAUUGGUUCAUCAAACUGACAGUUCAUAUAAAGAGAGUACCUUCCUACAUUUGUCUGCUCUGUGGCUGAAGAACCAAGUUCAGGCUUCAUCUUUGGAUAUCAACAGUCUCCAAGUCCUCUUGUCUGCUGUUGAUGAUUUGCUAAAUACACUUCUAGAGAGUGAAGAUUCUUAUCUUAUGGGAGUUUAUAUUGGAAGUGUAAUGCCGAACGACAGUGAAUGGGAAAAGAUGAGGCAGUCUCUUCCUAUGCAGUGGUUACAUAGACCUCUUUUAGAGGGAAGAUUGAGUUUGAAUUAUGAAUGUUUCAAAACAGAUUUUAAGGAACAGGACAUAAAGACACUUCCCAGCCAUUUGUGUACUUCAGCAUUAUUGAGCAAAAUGGUCUUAAUUGCACUGAGAAAGGAAACAGUCUUAGAAAAUAA
rnacentral:lncRNA from 1 species